rnacentral:rRNA from 1 species
CCUACGGUAGGCAGCAGUGGGGAAUAUUGCACAAUGGGGGAAACCCUGAUGCAGCGACGCCGCGUGAGUGAAGAAGUAUUUCGGUAUGUAAAGCUCUAUCAGCAGGGAAGAAAAUGACGGUACCUGACUAAGAAGCCCCGGCUAACUACGUGCCAGCAGCCGCGGUAAUACGUAGGGGCAAGCGUUAUCCGGAUUUACUGGGUGUAAAGGGAGCGUAGACGGCGCGGCAAGUCUGAAGUGAAAGGCAGGGGCUUAACCCCUGAACUGCUUUGGAAACUGCCAUGCUAGAGUGCUGGAGAGGGAAG